rnacentral:lncRNA from 1 species
CAAAUUCAAGCCAUUUGAGAAAAAGUUGGAGACACUCUUUAUGGACCCUAGAAUGCCUCUGGGCUCCACCCCUGUUCCAUUCUCCUCUCCACCCAUUCAUCCAGGUGCUGUGCGUCCUGGAAAGCUUCAGCGUGGCCUGCAGUCAAGCACAGGGAAGUCCCCUCGUGUUCUCCUGGUCUGCUGGGGAGCACCAGAGCCAUUCUUUGAAGGCAGGAGCAGAGAACUGCGCUUGAUUUUGGGCUCGUCCUCUACACCUCCUCCAUUUCUCCCCGAAUUGGAGGCUCUCCUUCAGUUCCAGGUUGCCAAAGAACAAAGUCACAGAAAGCCCUCAUCCCCUGGACCUCUCCCACCAUCCCCAGCUGUCGCCCGUGGAUUCUCC